rnacentral:rRNA from 1 species
GACGAACGCUGGCGGCGUGCUUAACACAUGCAAGUCGAACGAUGAAGAAGAGAAACGCGAACUUCGGUUCAAAUUUCACUUCGGAUUAGUGGCAGACGGGUGAGUAACGCGUGAGCAACCUACCUCUUAUAAAGGGAUAGCCUCGGGAAACCGUGAUUAAUACCAUAUGACACAUUCAUAAGGCAUCUUAAGAAUGUUAAAGCUACGGCGGUAAGAGAUGGGCUCGCGUCCCAUUAGCUAGUUGGUGAGGUAACGGCCCACCAAGGCGACGAUGGGUAACCGGCCUGAGAGGGUGAACGGUCACAUUGGAACUGAGACACGGUCCAAACUCCUACGGGAGGCAGCAGUGGGGAAUAUUGCACAAUGGAGGGAACUCUGAUGCAGCGACGCCGCGUGAGCGAUGAAGGAAUUCGUUUCGUAAAGCUCUGUUCUAUGGGAAGAAAAGGACUGUACCAUAGGAGAAAGCCCCGGCUAAAUACGUG